GCGGACGUAGCCAAGUGGAUUAAGGCAGU
rnacentral:tRNA from 1 species